CUGCGGUGAAGACUUUCUUAGGACACCUUUGGAUUUCAUUAUGAAAAAAAAAAAAGUGUGGUUUCUGAGCAGC